GCUCCUUCAAGAGGGUGAUGGCAGCAGGGGCAACAAGCUCUGGCUGCUCAGGGUCUGUCAGAUCUAGGGGCUGUCCUCAGGACCAGGGGGCUUGGCUGGGGUGUGCUCAUCUCCUCCUCUUCCUCCAAGAGGGCAUCCUCCAAGUGGGACUCUGGGUGGGUCCUGAUAUCACUACUCUUUCAUUGGCUCUUUAGUACAGAGACUACACAAGCACAGUUUGAUUGUAGGCUCCAUGCAGAAGAGCCAGUGAAUAUGUGGAGGUCUGGAGUGGAACAAGCUGCUGUGAUCUUGCACACUGUGUUCAAUAUUUCCUGUUUGGCCUUUUGAAAAGGGUUCAGGAGUUCAAACCAGUUUCACCUUUGUCCCACAGCUUCCCUCUGCCAUGCCCACUAUGUUCAACUCUGCCCUCAAUUUCACAAGAACUGAGUCUGAUUUUAACCUUGCACAGUAUAAUAAUUAGAAAUAACCAGUGUAUACUAUAAAACACCUAAGGUUUUUCUCCCAAGACUAUCAGACCAAACAUGAUUUUCUCAUUCUGAUCACACACACACAACUUAUCUCUAUCAUAAUAUCUAACCUCUCGCUCAGAUUACUGCAAUGCAUUGUACAUGGGGCUGGCUUUGAAAACGUCCCGGAAACUGUAGUGGGUACACAACAGGGCUGCCAGAUUAUUGAUUGGGACUGGAUGUUUUGAGGAUAUUAUGCCAGUGCUUUGUCAACUGUAUUGGCUCCCAAUCCAUUGCCAGGCCCAAUUCAAAGUGCUAGUGUUAAUCUUUAAAGCCCUAAAUGGCUUGGGACCAGGUUAUUUGAGAGAGCGCCUUGCCCCAUAUGUCCCAACCCAGACCUUAAGAUCUUCGUUAGAGGCCCUUGUCAGAGUACCCCUGCCAAAUGAGGUGAGGUGGGUGGCUACUAGGGAGUGGGCCUUUUUGGUGGUUGCACACCAUUUAUGGAAUAGCCUCCCCAGUGAAGUUCACCUGGCUUCAUCACUUUGUUCUAUUAGAUGCAAGGUGAAGACCUUUUUGUUCACUCAGGCUCUUUAAAUUUUUGUUUAAAAGAUCUGAUUUUAACUGAUUUUUUAAAAUGUCAUUUAAAUUGUUUUGUAUUGUAUUUUCUUCCCUCCCCUUCUUCGUUGUUUUUUGUGAUUUAAUGUGUUGUGUGCUUUUAUCUUAUGUUUUAACACUGGGUUGUAAACCGCGCAGAGAACAAUUUGUUGUGGGGUGGCUAACAAAUAAGGUUUAUGAUAUAAGUUUAUUAUUUAUUCCAAAGUUUGCAGGAGGAGUACAGCUGAUCUGGCACUGAUCUCCCCCACCCCCAAGUGGAUCCCCAAAUAUCUGUACUCAUGCAGUCUUAUCAUAAUUUAUUGUAGUGCUUUUAAGAGUAAAAUAUAUCCUCCUGACAGUAUGUUUUUUAGACCAAUACAAUAUCUUUCAGAACAAUGUCCCUGCUAUGAAAUUACAUAGGCUUUUUCACAUAGCCUACAGUUGCAAGCCUAUGCAUGCUUACUUGAAAACUAGUUUAACUGAACACAGAGGAAGUUACUUCUGAGUAAACUUGCAAAGGAUUGGGCUGUACAGGUCUCUUAAUGCCAGCGGGCUGGGGUGAGCCAGAGGAAGGGGAGCAGGGUGAAAGUUGUCUGUAGCCAGGAAGAGAUCUCCUAAGCUCAUGGUAGUUUUCACAGAAAAGCAAAAAUGUGAUGGGGCUUUCCCACACCAGCCACUUUUAUAAACACAUUCCUAUUAGACAGCCUGAGCAGACUAGACAGACUGGAGCUUUUCUCUGAAGAGGAAUUCACAAUGCUGUUGUUGCACUGAUAAAAUUUGCUUACUUUUUUUUGGACCCACGCUUCCUGUUUAUGGAGCUGGAGUUUUGAUCCUAAUAGCAUCUCUACCCAAUAAUCCCCAAGGACUACAAUGGGAAUGGAUGCAUCCUUUGAUUUUUCAACACCUGGACUGGGGGAUUUAAUCCUUAGGAGUGUUUCUUCUUGAAUACUGUCAAACUGCUAACAAAGAUCUGCAAGGAAAGAAAAUAGGAUCUUUUUCAGAAUAUCUUCUCAUUGCAUCACAAUGUCCAAUGUCCAGUUUCAGAGGUGUCUAGCUCCCACAGACCUUUACAUGGAUGUUGGCCUCUUUAGACUGUUUCAGAUGUUAUCCAAAAGCCAGUUUGGAAUGGGUCUAGAUAAUCUGUGUCAUCCAAAACUGCCUGGAGCUGAGAAGUGACCACUUGCUCAAUCACCUUACCUGACUAAGGAAGAAGAGAAACAGAAAAACCCGCUUAAAACCAGCAUUUUAAAAACCUGGAAAUACAUCGAGAUAAGCUAGGAUUUGGAGGACAAAGCCCAAUUUGUGUGUGGACUGUGGAGUGCUUCCAGGGAUCUUGAAUGGACUUCGGGGGUAAGUUUGGCUGGUGUGUGAACACAGACGUUCUCUUCCAGAGGAGAUACGGGAUAACAGCCCUGUCUGUAAAUCUCCUGCUGAUAAGAGAAAGGCAGGCAGGCUUGCUUAGGAAGGGAAUCCUUUUGCUCCUUGUUAAAGGUAAAGUGUGCCGUCAAGUCGAUUUCAACUCCUGGCGCCCACAGAGCCCCAUGGUUUUCUUUUUGGUAGAAUACAGGAGGGGUUUAUCAUUGCCUCUUCCCACACAGUGUGAGAUGAUGCCUUGCAGCAUCUUCAUAUAUUACUGCUGCCUGAUAUAGGUGUUUCCCAUAUUUAUUUAGUUAGUUAGUUAUUUAACAUAUUUUUAUACCGCCCAAAACUUACAUCUAUGGGCGGUUUACAACAAAAACACAAAAGUUAAAACAUUAAUCAAAACAGAUAAAUGACAACAAAGAAAUUAAAACAUUGGUUAAAAUAAAUGACAACAAAAAGUUAAAACAUUACAACAAUUUAAAACCUUAAAACAAUAUAUUAAAACAAAGCUAAAACUAUUAAAACGGUAUUUAAUUAAAAGCCUGGGUGAACAAAUAUGUCUAAAGAUUUUUUUAAAGUUUUCAGAGAUGGGGAAGCUCUUAUUUCAUAAGGGAGCACGUUGCGUUCCAAAGCAUCAGGGCAGCAACGGAGAAGGCCUGUCCUCGAGUAGCCACCAGAUGAGCCAGUGGCAACUGCA